rnacentral:rRNA from 1 species
AGUGAACGCUGGCGGCGUGCCUAACACAUGCAAGUCGAAGGAAGUGGCGCACGGGUGAGUAAUAUAUGGCUAUUCUCCCCCUUGCUGGAGGACAACAGUUAGAAAUGACUGCUAAUACUCCAUAGAAAGGGAUGAGCCUAUAUCGUAUCAGCUAGUCGGUGGGGUAACGGCCUACCGAGGCUAUGACGCGUAACUGGUCUGAGAUGAUGAUCAGGUACAUUGGAAAUGAGACACGGUCCAAGCACAUACGGGAGGGAGCAGAAGGGAAUAGUGCGCAAUGGGGGAGGACCUGGAGGGGCAAAGGGGCGUGGAGGAUGAAACUUCUCGGAGCGGAAACUGAUGUUGUUAGGGAAGCGGUACCUAACGAAUAAGCACCGGCUAACUCCGUGCCAGCAGCCGCGGUAAUUC